UGUAGGAAUAUUGGUCAAUGGGCGAGAGCCUGAACCAGCCAUCCGCGUGCAGGAUGACGCGCCCUACGGUUUGUAAACUGCUUUUAUGUACCAAGAAUAGGCGCUACGUGUAGCGUUAUGACGGUAGUACAUGAAUAAGCAUCGCCUAACUCCAUGCCAAGCAGCCGCGGUAAUAAAA
rnacentral:rRNA from 1 species